UACGUAGGGGGCAAGCGUUGUCCGGAAUCAUUGGGCGUAAAGCGCGUGUAGGCGGUCCGGUAAGUCCGCUGUGAAAGUCGGGGGCUCAACCCUCGAAUGCCGGUGGAUACUGUCGGGCUUGAGUACGGAAGAGGCGAGUGGAAUUCCCGGUGUAGCGGUGAAAUGCGCAGAUAUCGGGAGGAACACCAAUGGCGAAGGCAGCUCGCUGGGACGGUACUGACGCUGAGACGCGAAAGCGUGGGGAGCAAACAGG
rnacentral:rRNA from 1 species